rnacentral:rRNA from 1 species
AGGACGAACGCUGGCGGCGUGCUUAACACAUGCAAGUCGAACGGUGAAGGGAAGCUUGCUUCCCGGAUCAGUGGCGAACGGGUGAGUAACACGUGGGCAAUCUGCCCCAGACUUUGGGAUAACUACUCGAAAGAGUAGCUAAUACCGAAUAUUCAGCCUUGCAGGCAUCUGCGAGGCUGGAAAGUUUCUCGGUCUGGGAUGAGCCCGCGGCCUAUCAGCUAGUUGGUGAGGUAAAUGGCUCACCAAGGCGACGACGGGUAGCCGGCCUGAGAGGGCGACCGGCCACACUGGGACUGAGACACGGCCCAGACUCCUACGGGAGGCAGCAGUGGGGAAUAUUGCGCAAUGGGCGAAAGCCUGACGCAGCAACGCCGCGUGCGGGAUGAAGGCCUUCGGGUUGUAAACCGCUUUCAGCAGGGAAGAAGCGAAAGUGACGGUACCUGCAGAAGAAGCACCGGCUAACUACGUG